rnacentral:tRNA from 1 species
GGGAUGGUUGGGCAGGUGGUGAGCCCAGCGGGCCGUAACCCCGUCGCUUCGGCGUGAGAGUUCGAUUCUCUCCCAUCCCA